AGUGAACGCUGGCGGUAGGCCUAACACAUGCAAGUCGAACGGCAGCACAGUAAGAGCUUGCUCUUACGGGUGGCGAGUGGCGGACGGGUGCGGAAUACAUCGGAAUCUACUUUUUCGUGGGGGAUAACGUAGGGAAACUUACGCUAAUACCGCAUACGACCUACGGGUGAAAGCAGGGGAUCUUCGGACCUUGCGCGAUUGAAUGAGCCGAUGUCGGAUUAGCUAGUUGGCGGGGUAAAGGCCCACCAAGGCGACGAUCCGUAGCUGGUCUGAGAGGAUGAGCAGCCACACUGGAAAUGUGAACGGGUACAAACGCCUAGGGGAGGCAGCCGUGCGGAAUAUUGGAGAAUGGGUGCAGGAUUGAUCAAGCCAUACCGCGUGUGUGAAGAAGGCAUUCUGGUUGUAAAGCGAUUUUGUUCGGAAAGAAAAGCAGCAGGUUAAUACACGACAAUAAUGACGGUACCCAAAGAAUAAGCACCGGCUAAAUUCGUG
rnacentral:rRNA from 1 species